AUUGAACGCUGGCGGAAUGCUUUACACAUGCAAGUCGAACGGCAGCACGGGGGCAACCCUGGUGGCGAGUGGCGAACGGGUGAGUAAUACAUCGGAACGUGCCCAGUCGUGGGGGAUAACGUAGCGAAAGUUACGCUAAUACCGCAUACGAUCUACGGAUGAAAGCGGGGGACCGUAAGGCCUCGCGCGAUUGGAGCGGCCGAUGUCAGAUUAGGUAGUUGGUGAGGUAAAGGCUCACCAAGCCGACGAUCUGUAGCUGGUCUGAGAGGACGACAGGCCACACUGGAACUGAGACACGGCCCAGACUCCUACGGGGGGAAGCAGUGGGGAAUUUUGGACAAGGGGCGCAAGCCUGAUCCACCCAUUCCGCGUGCAGAACGAAGGCUUUCGGGUUGUAAACUGCUUUUGUACGGAACGAAAAGGCUCUGGUUAAUACCUGGGGCUCAUGACGGUACCGUAAGAAUAAGCACCGGCUAACUACGUGCCAGCCGCCGCGGUAA
rnacentral:rRNA from 1 species